GCCUGUGUGGUGUAUUGGUUUGAGUGUUGGACUAGGACUCUGGAGACCUGGGUUCGAAUCCUAGCUCAGCCA